AUUGAACGCUGGCGGCAGGCUUAACACAUGCAAGUCGAGCGAGCGGCGGACGGGUGAGUAAUUUCUGGGAAACUGCCUGAUGGAGGGGGCUAACUACUGGAAACGGUAGCUAAUACCGCAUACCAUCAGAUGUGCUCAGAUGGGUUUAGCUAGUAGGUGGGGUAAUGGCUCACCUAGGCGACGAUGCCUACCUGGUCUGAGAGGAGGACCGGCCACAAUGGAACUGAGACACGGCCCAGACUCCUACGGGAGGCAGCAGUGGGGAAUAUUGGACAAUGGGCGAAAGCCUGAUGCAGCCAUGCCGCGUGUGUGAAGAAGGUCUUCGGGUUGUAAAGCACUUUCAGCGAGGAGGCGUUACUCGCAGAAGAAGCACCGGCUAACUCCGUGCCAGCAGCCGCGGUAAUAC
rnacentral:rRNA from 1 species